rfam:Alligator mississippiensis ScZkoYb_121, whole genome shotgun sequence.
UUACUUGGAGGGGAGACACCAGGAUCACCCAGGUGGUUUUCCCAGGGUGAGGCUCACCCCUUGCACUCUGGGUGUGCUGACACCUGCGGUUUCCCCAGAUGUGGGAAACUCGACUGCAUAAUUUGUAGAAAUGGAGGACUGUACUCAUGCUCUCCCUGG